AUUGAACGCUGGCGGAAUGCUUUACACAUGCAAGUCGAGCGGCAGCGCGGGGGCAACCCUGGCGGCGAGCGGCGAACGGGUGAGUAACAUAUCGGAACGUACCCCGUCGUGGGGGAUAACACAGCGAAAGCUGUGCUAAUACCGCAUACGACCUGAGGGUGAAAGCGGGGGAUCGCAAGACCUCGCGCGAUGGGAGCGGCCGAUAUCGGAUUAGCUUGUUGGUGAGGUAAAGGCUCACCAAGGCGACGAUCCGUAGCUGGUCUGAGAGGACGACCAGCCACACUGGAACUGAGACACGGUCCAGACUCCUACGGGAGGCAGCAGUGGGAAUUUGGACAAUGGGGGCAACCCUGAUCCAGCCAUUCCGCGUGAGUGAAGAAGG
rnacentral:rRNA from 1 species